rnacentral:rRNA from 1 species
AUUGAACGCUGGCGGCAGGCCUCACACAUGCAAGUCGAACGAGUGGCGGACGGGUGAGUCAUGUCUGGGAACCUGCCUGAUGGAGGGGGAUAACUACUGGAAACGGUAGCUAAUACCGCAUACCAUCGGAUGUGCCCAGAUGGGAUUAGCUAGUAGGUGGGGUAAAGGCUCACCUAGGCGACGCUCCCUAGCUGGUCGGAGCGGAGGACCAGCAACACUGGAACUGAGACACGGUCCAGACUCCUACGGGAGGAAGCAGUGGGGAAUAUGGCACAAUGGGCGCAAGCCGGAUGCAGCCAGGCCGCGUGUAUGAAGAAGGCCUUAGGGUUGUAAAGCACUUUCAGCGAGGAGGCGUUACUCGCAGAAGAAGCACCGGCGAACUCCGUGCCAGCAGCCGCGGUAAUUC